rnacentral:lncRNA from 1 species
CACAACCUUCCAACAGUUGCUAUGCGCUUCCUUUUCUCUUUUUUACCUAGAGCAGGACCUCUGCAUACGCUACGGAACAGCUCAUGCAACUGAAGACUUACUUGGAUUUGAUUUGAGCUACUGACUAUUGCCUGUGAGCAUUUGCCUUCUCUAUUCUAAUGCAAGCUACAAGUCAAAACACAGCUAAGGUAUUUUUUGAGGAGAAUAUAGUGCAUAUCCAUCAGACCUCAGAUGAUCAUGUUGUAUUUUACAAAUUUUUGUUAUUGGCUGCAGAAUUCUGGAUCCAUAAACUGGUGAAAAGACUUCUAGUCAACUGUAGACAGCAGGAAGUCAUCUGAGGGCAUUACCAUCAAUGUCCACUUCUGCUGGAAGUCUUCUGCCCACUUGUAUCUCUCUCUAGUGCUACGGUUUAUAGACCAGACCUUACAUUUGCUUAUACCAGUUUGCCUACUUCACAAAUGCACCUGAGUAUUAAUGAAAUGUAUACAAUUGUAUAUGAAAUGUUAGUUAUGCAGACUGAACAUUUAUUUGUCUUUCCCUCAGAUAGUAAAUUGUGCUAAACAAUUAGCUUUCAUGCACAACUCAUUGAUUUGGAAAAACCUUUAAAUUAUUGUCCUGGCUCUAUCAUUUCAGAUAAAUUAUUUUUCAUUGGGUUUGGAGAUCGAUUAACACCGUGAGUUUCCAGUGAAUACUCACCUCUCAAGAAACUAGUAGGGCAUUUCAGAAUGCACAUUUCAUCUUGGAAUGAAACCUCAGAAAUGGCAACCUGUAGGCGUAAGUGUAAGAAGGAGCAGGAGUGAUGGGACACUCUUCUCUAAAACAGAAGAUUCCUGCAUCCCUGCAUCUGAGGGAUGGAGAAAGAAGGAAAGACUUGUGACAUAGUUGAAACAAUAACACUUUACACUCAUCAAAUACCAUCUUAGUCCUAGGUCUACUGCGUAUAGCUGGGAAUAGGAGAAAACCUACACACUCUACAGGAGGAAGAUGGCAAGCAGCUGUGAAAGGGAAGGUCCUUUUUUAUUUGUGAGGAUUCUUUUUCAUGUUCAUUUCUGACUUAUUCUGUGUCCAAGAAUACAGUUUUAUAGCAUAUAUUCACUCAAAUGGCAACAUAUAAAUGUUCACUCAGGCAUUACAUGCAUGUCCUCUCCUCAAGUCCUCAAGUCAGAUGUAUUACCUCAGUGUGGAAGAAUAAUUCUUUUAGCCUAUUCAUGCAUUUGUAAAGCUACUAGAAUAAGCCCUAGUCCAGUGUACUUCCCAGAGGAAUACUGUGGUCUUAGAUCGCUAUUUACUUUUGAGAUCUUUGCCUGAAAGGGGUUAAAAUAAACCUUAUCUGGGUUUUGAAGCAUAUCAGUCUGGUUUGCUCAUUUCUGCUGUUUAAGGUAAUGCAAGAAAAAGGGCCAUAAUCAAUUUAUGGAACAUAUUCCAUCAGAUUUUUUUUUUAAAACACUUCUCAAGUUUGACUGACACUACUUAGCAGCCCUGGUGAUGUUCCUAUUAUGUUAAGAACGUAAGAACAGAUGCACCAGCUCAGAAAAAAAGUUUUUCAUGUCCAGUGUGCUGCCAUGAGAGUAUCAUCAUGGAUACUUAAGGAAAAAAGAAAGUGUCAGGAAAGGAUAAGUAUAAAAAAAAAGCUAACACAUUCCAACUUCAC